AAAACGGAGAUUUUAUUUUAAAAAAUCUGAUUACGAGCUCGAAAAUUGUCACUUAUCCAAGAAAACGCCCAAUUUUACGAUCGUUAUCAACUGUGGUUUUCUUUUUGUAUGCCACUUGUGGAUUAAUCUGUAGAUCAAAUAGCGUUUUUUUCGCGGUUUUUGGGCAGUUUCGAGGGACAUUUUUGAAAAUAUUCUCGAGUUUUUCGGCAUAUUCGAAGUAGAAAUGGUAGUUGCGAUGCUAGUUUCUGAAACCCUGAUUCUACAGGUGUUUCACACGAUAACUGGAACGAUCGCUGGAUAAGUGUACCAUCGACCAUAGAGACCAGAACGUACAAAGGGAUCGCCACAGCUCCGGGUCAAAAACGAGCGCAUGCUCCAUGAGCGCAUUUACUGCAUCUCGCCUUUGCUUUUCUAACUGACUUGCACCGCAUCAAGUCCGUUAAGCGCUUUGUACACUGCCUGCCUAUGGAUAUGACAUGCGAGUCGGAGAUUGACAGCUUUAAAUGCCGAAGCAGCAGGAUUGGGUGAAGCUGGCAUUUUCAGUGAUUAUGGCAGUUUAAGAAAAAGAGAAAUAUUUCAUUCAGAAAUGGCAAGAAAGAGAGGACAACAACUUAAAAGAGGCGA
rnacentral:misc_RNA from 1 species